rnacentral:tRNA from 1 species
CUGCCUGUAAGUUAACCUUUACCAAGAUAAUUAUUCAGGCUACCGCCAACGUCGGGGGUCGGAGGUUCAAAUCCUCUCGUGCCGACCA